AUGAAUGAUGUAUUUUGUGCGGAGUACACAGAAGAAGAGGUGAAGAGAGCCUUAGACAACAUUGGUGACUUAAAGGCCCCUGGACCGGAUGGCAUGCCAGCAAUAUUCUUCAAAAGAUUUUGGCAAACUGUUGGGAACCAGGUCACUGAAGAGGUUCUUCCAAUAUUAAGGGGAGGAGAAAUGCCUGAGGGUUGGAAUGACACACUCAUAGUGCUAAUUCCAAAGCAUGCCAACCCAGUGAGCAUAAAAGACCUGAGACCAAUAAGUUUGUGUAAUGUGGUGUAUAAGCUAGUGUCCAAGGUAAUCAGAAAUAGGCUUAAGGUAAUUCUUCCUGACAUCAUCUCCCCAAACCAAAGCGCCUUUGUGCCUGGAAGACUAAUCUCAGAUAAUAUUCUUCUAGCAUACGAGUUAACUCACUUCCUUCGGAGGAGAAGAAGGGGCUUGACGGGCUAUGCGGCUAUUAAAUUGGAUAUGAGCAAAGCCUAUGAGAGGGUUGAAUGGACGUUUCUAAAAGAUAUGAUGCAAAGGCUGGGUUUCAACAUGUGCUGGAUUAAAUUGACAAUGCAGUGUGUUUCGACUGUAAGGUAUCAGAUCAAGGUGAACCAAGAUAAAACUGAAAUAAUUGAACCUCAAAGGGGCUUGCGACAAGGAGAUCCACUCUCUCCAUACUUGUUCCUCAUCUGCGCAGAGGGGUUCACUGCCAUGUUACAUGAAGCUCAGAUGAGAGGAUUAAUAAAUGGAAUCAAGAUUUGUAGAGAAGCUCCAUGUGUAAGCCACUUGCUCUUUGCGGACGACUCAUUACUGCUUAUGGAGGCCAAUGCGGAGAGUGCCCAUGAACUGAAUAGAAUUUUAAAUAUUUACGAAGCCUCUUCGGGUCAAAUGAUUAAUAAAGACAAACCCACAAUACUAUUCAGUGCAAACACAAGGCAAGGGUUGAAGGAGGAAAUGAGAAGUAUUUUACAAAUUUCUUCCGAAGGUCUUUCCUCAUGA
rnacentral:rRNA from 1 species